CGAGAAUCCAUUGCCACGUUGACGUUGUCACAUUUCAGCUACGUCCGCUUUCCUUCGUUACGCAUUUUCCGAGUGUAAAUAAGGCAUCAUUGCAGAACCUUUUUAGAAAACUUUUUUAGAAGAAACAUGCCGGAAAAAAUAUUAAAUGUUCUGACCAAAUUUUGGGACGAAUACAUAGCAAACACGCCGAAGAAACUUAAGAUUAUAGAUGCAUAUCUCGUCUAUGUUUUCCUCACGGGCGUGAUGCAGUUUUUGUACAUUUGUGUGGUUGGCACCUUCCCGUUUAAUUCAUUCCUCUCCGGUUUUAUAUCAAGUGUAGGAUCAUUCAUUCUCGCUGGUAAGUUUAUUUUAUUGUAUGAAAUGUUAAUUUUCUUUAUUCAGGUUGCAUCCUAUUUUUUUUUACGACAUAAAUAUGAGACCAGCUUCGGAAAGAAAGUCUUGAAAUUCAUCCGUUAAUUGAUUUCAGAUUCUGGUAUAGUUUAGUAUAUAUAAUUCUUUAUUUACUGCCCACAAGGGGCUAAACAUAGAGGGGACAAACAAGGACAGACAAAGGGAUUAAGUCGAUUACAUCGACCCCCCAGUGCGAAACUUGUGCUUUAUUUAUCGACCCCGAAAGGAUGAAAGGCAAAGCAGUGAAAAUGGUUUUACUGUUUGCUGAAGGAGUGACUCGUAUUUCGCGAUUUCAAACUAUAUCUCGCUGAGGUUCCGUCGAGUGGUCAAUAAAAUUGUUUACUUGUCACGAGAAGGCAGCAGCAUUGUAUUCAACACACAUCAACAGGGUUCGAGCAGAGGCAUAGGACAUAAUAGGUUGAACCACUAAGUUCGAUCUGCAGCAUCAACAGGCGGUUGCGUUGUUUACACCAUCGUAUAUGAUUGAUAUACUUUGGAUAAAGAAUAAUGCUUUAAAAUACCAUUUUCGAAAUCCGUUGAAUUGAUGAAAGAGUGCCUAAGGUGGCAUAUUAGCCAUGACUGAUCUUUACCUUUCAACAUUUCAGGAUCAAUAAAAUAAGGAGUAAAGUGAAACUUUUCAGUAACAUUAUUUCGCUAAUCUCUUCGGGUAGACAGAUUUCUGUCUAAUCAGCCGAAGUUCGAUGUAAAUUUGUAAAAGAAUUACAAGACAGAUUGUUGAAACAAAAAUAGACUAAAGUACAAAGAACGCCCAUAUGUUCGUUGGCGGAGUUAAAGGACAUGGACUGCACCCCCCCCCUUUCGGUUAUUUUAUGUAUUUUUCUUUCUACAGAAAUCCACCUUUUUGACUGCGGAGAUUCCGAAUUUGCAAAAAAAAAAUUAUAUCGGUAUUUCAAAACUUACCCCCCCCCCCCAGUUUUUCAGUCUUUUUUAGAAGAUGGUGUUACUGUUGUUUUUAGCCCCAGGAAGACAUUCAUAUCUAUCUCUUUAUACAUCCGUAGAAUGACCUCAAGAAGAUAUUACUUCACUCUCAGCUUCACCUAAGGGUGAAGCAGUAUCUCCUUGAGGCCACACCACCAGCAAUGUAGUAGGGAUUUUUCCACCUGUAUACUGGUGAGGGAUAUAGCUACAGUCAACCUCAGACUCACGGAAGCACACUUCAUUAAGAAGAUAGCACCCAGCCCUAACUAUACCAGAAUGAACUUGAUGGCUGGAAGUACAUCUAGUGCUUCCAGAGCAGAGCCUUUUAGCAGGACCAGGGAUGGCCACUCUAAGAACAAAAAUGCAAAUAGAGAGAAUGUCUGAUAGAGGUCUUUGAUCCAAAAGUAUGCACAUGAUUAACCCUAACAACUAUCCACAGAUUACACACCAUGCAGGUUUUAUCUUUCUAUCCAUCUAUCUACUAACCGACCGACCUACGUGAUGUCAAAUCGGCUCCGCAGGUAACCCCUUUUUUCAACCUUUUAUUGCAUACAUUUUGUUUCAAUUUUUGCACAUAAGGUGUGUAACGCACCCAGCUUUCAUUUGAGCGUGUUUUCAAGGGAGGAAUUGACCCCUAGGGGCAGUUUCAAACCUAUUUGAAACUGCCGGAUGUACGGGAUGCGAUGGCAGGCUGUGCGAGAGACAAGUCACCAUGCUUGGAUGGUCUGCCCUACAAACUUUAUUGUCAUAUGCCAGACUUGUUUGGGGGCAUCAUGGCAGCAAAAUGGGAGUAUCCCCGUCUUUGUAAAGCGACGAGCAGUGGCACUACUAAAGAAAGAUCCAAACAAGGGGAGCAUCAUAGAUAACUUCAGGCCCAUCACUCUGUUCAAUGCAGAUUUGAAAAUUUUGGCCAAGGUGUUAGCCGAGAGGUUGGCGCUUGUCAUCGAGAAACUAGUUGACAAGGUGCAAAUGUGUGUCGUGCCGGGUAGGAGUAUCCAUGACAACCUCCAUCUGAUGUGCUACAUCAUAGACAGGGUAGCUAAUGAUCCUGGCAUGGGUGGGGCGCUGAUCAAUUUGGAUCAAUCAAAAGCUUUCGAUAGGGUAGACCAUUGCUACUUGGAGGCUGUCCUUAAAGCAGCUGGUUUUGGUCCCAACUUCCACGGUUGGAUUGCUGCUUUAUACAGUGGCAUCCACUUGGUAGUUCGCAUAAAUGGUCAUCUAUCCAGACCAUUUAAUAUCAUGCAUUCAGUUCGUCAAGGAUGCCCCCUCUCGUUGCUUCUGUAUAUAUUGACUCUUGAGCCAUUAUUGUGGAAGUUGGCGAUGCUGAUGGUCAUCCCACGAGAGCUGGGAUGCGGGAGGAGCAUCUCUGCAUACGCGGACGAUGUCACCAUCAUAGUGUUGAGCCACAAGCACAUCGACCCAAGACACUAAAAGAAUAUGAAGUGGUAAUGGGAGCAAAAAUUAACUGAGAAAAGUCAGUGGGCUUGCGGCUCAGCAUCUGGAGAAGCAAGCCCAUGCUGUCCAACAACGUCUCCAUUGAGGGACGCUGGACCGAUGGACUGGUUAAAUUGCUUGGAGUCUGGUUUGGUCUCGACCUGUAAACGCAGAAGAAUUGGGGCAAAAUAACAACUAGGGUGACCACUCUCACCCAGCAAUUGGCCAAGAGGAAGCUAUCCCUAAAAGGUCGGGCGGAGGUGGUGAACGCAUACAUUGCAUCUGUCAUCGAGUACCGUCUGACCGUCGUGCCUUGUCCUGACCCUACCAUCACCAAACUGGAACACACUCUUCCACUUCUUGUGGAAGGGAAGCAUUUUGAUGGUUAGGCGAUCCAUUUGCUGUCAACACCCGCUAAAUGGAGGGCUAGGCAUGGUGUGGUUGAUGAUGCACAAACAUAUGCUGAGACUGGGACAUCUCCAGCGCUUCAUAGACGAUGGUGAACAGGUGUGGUUGCCGUUUGUGCGGCGUGCUUUCUUGCAGCUCGUCUCGGGCCGGGACUUAUGGACAAUCACCAAAGAUCCCUGGCCUGGUAGUGCUAUCGAAAAGCAUUACCUGUUCGGGAUAAGUUCUACAAGCAUGGUUUGAGACACACAGGACCGACUUGCCUGAGAUGCAGUCAAAGCGAUGACACUGUUCUGCACGCACUCAUGCAGUGUCCAGCCAUUUCGGACCUGUGGGCUUAUGCUGAACGGCUGCUGUCACGUGUGGGACGAGUCCGCCUGUCAGCCGAGUCUAUCGUGGCAAUUGCUCUGCCACCUUCACUCAACCGGGAAGGCAAGGCAGUCUUCAUCGUACUGGUGGCCAUGGUGAAAGAAUGUGUGUGGUGGACUCGAGUGAAAAGAUUAGAAACAAACACUUACCUCUCUGGCUAAUUGCUCAUCAACUUUUUCAAGUACCACUUGAAAAGGAAGGUGAGAAUGGAGAGGCAGGUUUUGUCUCGUGAAAGUUUCAAAAAAAGGUGGGUGAACGUAGCAAAGAUGGUGCAUGCGAGCAAAGAAACCACUUUGAGUAUGAUCCAGUAAAUCGAAAAAAGGGAGAGAGAGAGCACUUUGCUCUCGUGUUUAUUCCCUCCCUGUCUGAGGUUACCAUGGUCUUUUCCAUAGGCUUUUCUUUUCACAGAUAAACCUAAUCUUGUUUCUUACAUUUAAAAAAUUUCUUGUGAUGCACGAUCCCUUUUGAUCACUUCCCCCCACCCCAACUUGGAAUUUUACUCUCCCACCCUUUUUUUCUUUUUCAUUUUCGAAAAGAAAAGCUCUGUAUUUGUAUUUGUUCCCUCUGUGUUCAGCCCUGUGUGGCCAAUACAGAAAGUUAUCUAUCUAUCUGGCUAUCUACCUUUCUAUCUAUCUGUCUAUCUAUCUUAUGGACGGACGAUAGUCACAUCAACUCAUAGUAAGUUUGCUUUUUUUCUGCCUUCAAAAGUGUGUCUUGUAUAAUAUUUUAUAUGUAAAAGUUGUGCAACAACUAAUAGAUUUGAUUGUGCAAAUUGUUUCCAUAGGAAACCUGCCCUAUGUGGCGUGUUUCCUGAUUUUCUGAGUUUGUUUUUGGCUUGCUUACCCAUUUUACAUUCGACGAUGGCGUCCUCAAGUCAUGAAGACAGUUUUGUAACAAAUGCCAGUCUCCUUGGAAACUGUUUGAUAUUGAGUUUCCUACACUGCCUUCACCACAACUUCAUGAAAGAAGGAAGGAAAAGAGAAAUCUCACACAAACGAAUUCAAACGUAUACAUGAAUGCCAAUACCACCACCACCAUCACCACCAACAACGAUAUUGUCGCAAAGUCGUACACUAUGAACUCCAUGUACACCAACACCACCACUACAACUUCACCUUCGAAUGCUACAACUGACACCUCUGCCACCACUGCCGCUGCCACCACCACCACCACCAAAAAAGACAAAUAUUUCUCUGAAGUAAUAAAACAAAAAAAAAAACGAUUGUAUCAUUCACUGUCCAACAAAUCAAAGAGACAAAAACACUGCUCACAAAAGAAGGCUAAAAUUUACAUUUACACAUCCCUCAGAAUAUAUCGGAACAAACCCAAAAAACCCCCAUCAUCUAAAAAAAUAUUGAGUACAAAAACAAAAAAACCUGAGAAUGCAGUGCAAGAAAACAUUGAAAAAUGCGUUUGCCCUGUAAGGGCACGUAAAGAAUACAUCAAUUGGUGGCAUAAAUUUGCCACUGUUCAAGUGCAUUUUCACUGUGAAAACCUAGCAAAACAAUUCUCAACACUCACUCUUCGUACAGACCAGUUAAUAAUGAUACCCAGUUAUCUUGAGCAGAGAGUCACAAAGGUGACAAUAAAGAAUGUGCAUUCAGAGGUAGAGAUGCAAUGGUUAUUAUCUGCCAUCUGCUUCGAAAUGGAGGAAGCUAACAUUUUAGAAAUUGCUGUCCUCGAACAGCAAGACUAGGUGGGUAAAACACUGGAGAUCCUUUUACAGAUCGAUCAAGAAUUGAUUAAUAAAUUACCCACAAGUAUUCAAUUAGCAGAAGCAUACAAGUUGUAUGUAGUGGUGGAGGGCAGGCAGCCAUGGUGUUAUUUGUGUAACAGUGAGACACAUCUGAAAAAUGAUUGUCCAACUGCUGCAAAAAAAAAAAGAACAACAACAACCAGUACCAAAAACCUGGAAUAAAACCAUGCUACCCACACCACCUUCAACACAAAAGACAAUAAAAAAAAAGAUCACCAACAAUCGACAACAAAACAACUCCUGGAAAAACACCAAGAAGUGAAGAUACAGGAAAAACAAAAGAAGAUUCAAAAACUAAUUGCCCCUCCCCUAUAUCACAUACACCUCACACAAAUAACCAGCAACAACACAGUCACUUACAGAAACACACAGACGCUUAUAACAUGCCCUUACCCUCUUCCGAUUCCUCAGACCUUUCGUUGGAAGAUGAAAGUAGUGAGGAAUGGCAGAUAGUCAGAAAAUGAAGGAGGAAGAGGAGCAAACACCAAUAAAGCAGGGAGAUACACAACUCCUGAAGACAUUUCUUCAAAUGCCAACACCACAGAAACGAUGGUCACAGCCAUAAACACCAACAACACAGAGUUGAUGAAAUAAUCAGCAGAAAAAGAAACAUUACAGAAAAUGACAUUAAAACAAGCAACCACCAGAACACAUCAAAAUCAGUCACCACGAGAGAUUGUGUUAAAUUUUUCAUAUUUUUGGUUGGUUAUUAUAAUCACACUAUUUGUUUGAAGUGCUUACAAAGCCUCCCUUUUUAUAGGAAAAAAGGGAAAGGAGAGACGGGGCCCUGGAGGUCGACUUUGCCUUUCGUCCUUUCGGGGUCGAUUAAAUAAGUACCAGUUACGCACUGGGGUUGAUAUAAUCGACUUAAUCCGUUUGUCUGUCCUUGUUUAGCCCCUUGUGGGUAGUAAAGAAAUAGAUAUAUUCAAAUUUUCCUCCAAGAUAUUAAUUACAUUAAUAUUUAAUUCUAUAUCAAGCAGGUUAGGGUCUGCAAGAUUAAUGGGGAUUGUCCUGGAUAUUUGAGAAAAUGUCCCAUAAUUUCUAGUGUUUAAUGCUCUUGCACAUCUACCACAAGGAAAGUCUACUUUCCCCAUUAAUCUUCCUGGUUCUGACUAGUUUUAUUAGCUCUUUUUAUUUAAUUUAAUAGUAUAUGUGUCCCAGAUAUCACACAAUAUGUUUUUUAGCUCAAGUAUUUUGAAUUUUCUUGAUUUUUUUUAUUCUUUCAGUGUGUCUUCGACUGCAGGUAAAUCCUCAAAAUAAAUCAGAUUUCACCAGUAUCAGUCCUGAGAGAGCUUUUGCAGAUUUUACAUUUGCCAACAUCAUCCUUCAUUUGGUAGUGAUGAAUUUUAUUGGUUGAACUUUGUAUUUCUUCAUUGGUGAGUGUUACACUAUUUAUGUUAGACUAAUUAGAAUUUAAAUGUUUUUGUCGAUAUUUUUCUCUUUUUGUCAUACAUAACCUUAGUUUUCUAAAAAAAAUAAAAGUUUAUGUUGGCUCAUUGAAUUUUGUUCAAAAGUUCAAUUUUGUUUUUUAAAAUAAUAUUUAACAUUGAAGUAGUCCCAGUUUACUUUUUCAAGUCCUUUUCAACUAGGUUUUAUAGAAUUGAAUUUUCAUACUAAUAUUAUACCACUGUAAUCUCCUUAGAAACAAAUGAAGAAUUAAUGCUCAUCAUCAUCAUCAUCAUCAUCGUUUAACGUCCGUUUUCCGCGCUAGCACGGGUUGGACGGUUCGACCGGGGUCUGGGAAGCCAGGGGCUGCUCCAGGCUCCAGUCUGAUCUGGCAGAGUUUCUACGGCUGGAUGCCCUUCCUAACGCCAACCACUCCGCGAGUGUAGUGGGUGCUUUUUACGUGCCACCUGCACAGGUGCCAGGGGGGGUCCGGCAUCGGUCACGAUCGGUUGAAGCUUUUAACGUGCCAGCCAAGGCGGCGCUGGCAAUGUUAUAAGUAAUAUUUAUUUAUCAUGUGAAAGCUAUGAAGUUAUGAAGAGUUUGAGAAACCCAAUCUAUUCACUAUUUUGACUUCAAUGUGGCAAUUGUAAAAUGAAAUGCAUAGUAAAACAGGAUAUGAGCAGAGGAAUACAACAUGGCAGUGGUGGGGGUGGUUGUGAUAUUAAAAUCCUGUAAAAACAAAAAUUACUGUCUGUUAUUUGUUAAUCUGCUUCUUAGAUAUUAUUUACCAAGUCCUUGAAAGAACUUCAACUUUGUGAACUAUCAGGAUGUAUUUUAAGAAAUGACACUUAUAUAUUUGUUCUGUAUUAUGUAUAUGGUGUUUUCCGUAUAAAAUUUGCUUAAAUUUUAUUGUUUACAUUCUAUAAUGUCUAAAAAAUUUGUCUUUAUUUUUAGUUGAGCAAUUUUUCAAUUUACAAUUUGUCUAAAAUCUAGGCAGCGGAUGUUAAACAAUAAUAAGGAAGAUGAUGAUGAUCUAGACCAGUGGUUUUCAACCAGGGUUCCGCAAGAAGUUACAAAACUGCUAAAAUCGGCAGUAAUUUUUAAUCCUCCUGUGCAGAUAUGUGUGCAUAAGACUAUUAAAUUAUUGCACAGGGGUUCCUCGAGCCAGUGGAAUGUUUCCUUGGGGUUCCGCUCCAGCAAAAAGUUUAAAAAGCACUGAUCUAGACCAUAGCUUCCCAAAGUGGGUGAUUUCAACUUGCAGUUGGGUGGUUUUGUAGAAAAUGGUGGGCGAUAUGAACAUUUUUCUUUGAAGAUACUUCACUAUCCACUUCAUUGUGGUACCAUCAGAGUAUAUUGAAUUCUUACCCCAAUCUGUGGAAACAUCUGAUAUUACUUUUGCUUGCCGUCCCUAUCUCAUACCUGGUUGAAUCUGCUUUUAACCUUGUUGGAACUUUACAUUCCCCAUAAAAGAAUUGGACUGGAUGUGAUACAAUGAGGAGACUUGCUGCUGAAGUUGACAAGUUUGAAACCGAAUGUAUCCGCACUAGUUGCACUGCACCAGACACAUGGUUCUCAUUGAAAAAGUUUUAUUUUUCCAUUAUAUUAUUUUUGCAUUGGUAUUUCUGAUCAGUGGUUCAUUUGGGGAAAAUAAAAAUCAGUGUAAAAGAAAGCGCAAGUUUCCAGAAGUCAACCUGUCUGCAUGAUAUAGAGUUAACGUUAGAAUUUUAUUCACACUAAUGGCAAAACUAAACCCACAAUAAGGGAUUUGUAAACAACUGCAUAUUUAGCCUGAACAGCACUAACAGGGCAAUGAGUCUACAAUAUAGUGCGUGUGUGUCAAAUGAUACAGGGGGGGGGGGGGUCCUAGGGGAUUUUGUGUUGGUUGGGGUGGGGUUGUGUUGGGUUUUUUUUUUUUUACACAGGUGAGCAAUGGAGCAUUUUUUGGCCAAUAGUUUGGUGAUAUUACAACUUGGCGUGAAAAGUUUGGGAAACACUGAUCUAGACUCUUAGAUCAUCAACAUCAUCCAUGUCAUUGCUUAGCAUCUGUUUUCCAUGCUGGCAUGGGUUGGAUGGUUUGAUAUGGAGCUGUCCAGACCCCAAUUGUCUGUUGGAGCAUGGUUUCUUUGGUUGGAUGGCCUCCCUAAGACCAUCCACUUAACAAAGUGUGCUGGGUGCAUUUUACGUGUCACCGACACAGGUGCAUUUAUGCAGAACUGGCAUAGGUGCAUUUAUACAGCACCAACAUGGAUGCUUUUUAUGUGGCUCAAUACUUCUCCUGCAUUUACCUAACCAGGAAUAUAGCAUCAAUCAUGCUCUUGCCUUCCACAAAUCCAAGCUGCAUCUCAUCUACACUAACUCUCUUCCUAAUUAAUUGAACUAUGACCAUUUCUGUGACUAUUAGAGAAUGUUCUGAAUGGGCUUUACUUGAUUCAAUCAUUAGACUGGCCAUGCUGGGGCACCACCUUGAAGGAUUUUAGUCUAACGUAUCUUUGUUCUUUAAAGCCUGGUAUUCAUUGUAUUGGUCUCUUUUGUCAAACUGCUAAGUUAUAGAAUUGUAAACACACCAACACCAGUUAUCAAGUAGUGGUUGAGCAGAAAGACAACACACACACAUAAUGGGUUUCGUUUAGUUUCCAUCUACCAAAUCCACUCACAAGGCUUUGGUCAGCCUGAAGCUAUAGUAGAAGACAUUUGCCCAAGGUGCCACACAGUGGGACUGAGCCCUGAACCAUGUGGUUGGGAAGCAAACUUCUCACCACACAGCCAUACAUAUCUUUUCUAUCCAUAUUAUAAAUCUAAGUUUGUUAGUAUUAGUAAUAGAAAUAGCAAACAUCUAGGAUUUUGCCUGUUGCUUUUAAUCCCUUUUCUCCAUCUCAUGAAUUGAUGUUGGUAGGAUUUAAUUCUAGAAUGAAAACAACAUUUAACUGCUUCUGUCAUUCCAUCUUAACCCCUUACCCAACAAUUAUUUUGAAAAUAAAUGUAUUUUUUCAGACAUAUUUUUUAAUUGUUUUAUUUUACCAUGUUUUGAAUGGUGAUUUCGAGGUAUAUUUCAAACCUUAUUUAUUAUGAAUUUUAAUUCAAUAAUAUUGAUUUUAAAUUACGGCAUUGGGCAGAAACGAGUUAACCCGUUUUUAGACGAAGGAACUCGUUUGCUGUCGAUUUUGGCGAGUCUAUCUUUUGACGAGUUAACUCGCCAGAGAUGGAAAAAAACGAUUUCGGUCAAAGCGCAUAUAUUCGUUUCUGCCGGGUAAGGGGUUAAUUAUGAUAAUAUGGACUUCAUUGCCUCCCCAUGGAUCAUUUUAGGAUCAUUUUCACAUCUUUUGGCAGUUGAAAGCUAAAUUUCCAUUCUAGAUAGGACUUGCCAACCAGAUGGUCCCAGGUGCAGUCGUACAGUGUGGCAUCUUGGGUUAGUGUCUUCUACUGUAGCCUUGGGCUAACCUCGACAACUGGUGUUGGUUUGUUUGCAUCCCUGUCCCCUUAGUGGUUCAGCAAAAGAGACCAAUGGAAUAAGUACCAGACUUUAAAAAAUAAGUACUGGGGUCAUUUUGUUUACCAAAAAUACUUUGAUGCAGUGCUCCUGCACGGUCACUCUCCAAUGAGUGAAACAAGUAAAAAUUAAUAUAUAUAUAUAUAUAUAUAUAUAUAUAUAUGUAUGUAUGUAUGUAUUUAUUUAUAAUAUUCUAAAGAAGAAUAUUUACAUGUAAUAAAAAUGUGUUAACAAAGUCUUAUUGUAUCUUUGCCUGUGCUAAUGUUUUCAUUGAUAUUUACAAAAACAUCAUUUUUUUAUAUAUUUCCUCAUUCUUUUUAUUUUUUUUUUUUGUAGGAACUGAAAGAAAAUGUCAACCAAUAAUUCAGCCAUUAGCCAAUCUUCUUUUUACAUAAAUAAAAAUAUAUCUGAAAAAAGAAACAUUAAAAUCUUUU
rnacentral:lncRNA from 1 species